CAGCCGCCGCGGUAAUGCGUAGGGUGCAAGCGUUAAUCGGAAUUACUGGGCGUAAAGCGAGCGCAGACGGUUACUUAAGCAGGAUGUGAAAUCCCCGGGCUUAACCUGGGAACUGCGUUCUGAACUGGGUAGCUAGAGUAUGUCAGAGGGGGGUAGAAUUCCACGUGUAGCAGUGAAAUGCGUAGAGAUGUGGAGGAAUACCGAUGGCGAAGGCAGCCCCCUGGGAUAAUACUGACGUUCAUGCUCGAAAGCGUGGGUAGCAAACAGGAUUAGAUACCCCUGUAGUCCCUGUCUCUUAUAC
rnacentral:rRNA from 1 species